rnacentral:rRNA from 1 species
CCUACGGGAGGCAGCAGUGAGGAAUAUUGGUCAAUGGGCGAGAGCCUGAACCAGCCAAGUCGCGUGAGGGAGUACUGCCCUAUGGGUUGUAAACCUCUUUUGUCGGGGAGCAAAAGCCGGACGUGUCCGGCUGUGAGAGUACCCGAAGAAAAAGCAUCGGCUAACUCCGUGCCAGCAGCCGCGGUAAUACGGAGGAUGCGAGCGUUAUCCGGAUUUAUUGGGUUUAAAGGGUGCGCAGGCGGAUUUUUAAGUCAGCGGUAAAAUCGUGGGGCGCAACCCCAUCCAGCCGUUGAAACUGGGGAUCUAGAGUGUGCGAGAGGUAUGCGGAAUGCGUGGUGUAGCGGUGAAAUGCAUAGAUAUCACGCAGAACCCCGAUUGCGAAGGCAGCAUACCGGUGCACAACUGACGCUCAGGCACGAAAGCGUGGGUAUCGAACAGGAUUAGAUACCCGUGUAGUC